rnacentral:rRNA from 1 species
GAGUUUGAUCGUGGCUCAGGACGAACGCUGGCGGCGUGCCUAAUACAUGCAAGUCGAGCGAGUCUCUUCGGAGGCUAGCGGCGGACGGGUGAGUAACACGUAGGCAACCUGCCUCUCAGACCGGGAUAACAUAGGGGAAACUUAUGCUAAUACCGGAUAGGUUUUUGGAUUGCAUGAUCCGAAAAGAAAGAUGGCUUUUCGCUAUCACUGGGAGAUGGGCCUGCGGCGCAUUAGCUAGUUGGUGGGUACGGCUACCAAGGCGACGAUGCGUAGCCGACCUGAGAGGGUGACCGGCCACACUGGGACUGAGACACGGGCCCAGGACUCCUACGGGAGGCCAGCAGUAGGGAAUUUUCCACAA